rnacentral:misc_RNA from 1 species
GAUGGAAGAACGUAGCGAAAUGCGAUAAGUAGUGUGAAUUGCAGAAUUCAGUGAAUCAUCGAAUCUUUGAACGCACAUUGCGCCCCUUGGUAUCCCGAGGGGCAUGCCUGUUCGAGCGUCAUUUCACCACUCAAGCCUGGCUUGGUGUUGGGCGACGUCCCCUUUGGGGACGCGCCUCGAAACGCUCGGCGGCGUGGCACCGGCUUUAAGCGUAGCAGAAUCUUUCGCUUUGGAAGUCGGGGCCCCGUCUGCCGGAAGACCUACUCGCAAGGUUGACCUCGGAUCAGGCAGGGAUACCCGCUGAACUUAAGCAUAUCAAUAAGCGGAGGA